AACUUCAAUACUGCGGCUACACAUGUAGAUGUCUUGUGCUGACGGUUUUCGGACGCGGGUUCGAUUCCCGCCGCCUCCACCA
rnacentral:tmRNA from 1 species